AUUGAGGGCUACACUUAGACUUGCAUCCUCAAAAAUUGGGAGGUGCAAAAAUUGAUAUUAAAGCCUUGCGAGGUUCCGAUUAGCAUUACGGGCAGUGAACGUUUAUCGGGACGUCACGGCGAUUGUCACGGGCUCGAGAGGAGUACCGGGUCAUGACGAAUGUGGUUAGAGAUGAUGGUGUGAUAAGGGACUUUGUCUCAAGUGGAGAGGAUGGUGAGUUAAACGAGAAUGUAGAAAUUGAUGAUGGAGGAUAGUUUAUUAUAAAUUAAGAAGUAAUAAAAGUAGAAUAAGGAAGAGAGGUUUUUUCUUGAGCAAAAGAUAAGGCAGGGUAGUUUAAACAAAAAAAUAAAGCUUAUUAAAGAAAAGAAGGGCAAUGCAAAAGAGCAAAACAAUAACUCCAAAGGUAGGCUCGACUAGCAAUGGGAGAAUAAGAGUUAAGAAAUAGGCCAAGAAAGAUUUGGAAGUGCAUAAUACAGAGUAAAACCUUUUGGGUUUAGACUCAGCCUAAAUGUGGAUGUUAGGAAAAGGAACUCAGUCAUUAAGAGAGAAGUAGAAGCAAUAUGGGAGUUGACAAAGAGAUUGGGUUUAAGCUUUUAUGAAAAUAAAGAAAAUGUGAUCCAAAAGAUAGUUGAGCUAAAGGUGGUGGACAAAGGUGUCGAGUUGCAAGCAACUUUGGAUUGAGCCAAUUAGUUAAGGAAGGAUUGUAUGGACAAAGGGAAAGGGAAUGGUUUCCAUAUGGCAAGUUAAGUAAUGCGUUCUAGCAAAGCUUGUUGUUUUGUCGUUGAUUUAGCUUAUCAUAUGUAUUGGUUUAAUUUUGAUGUUGUGCCGCUAGGACAGUAUUUGAUAUGUGUAGGUAUUUUAGACUAGGAUCCAACUGCCAAUAAUUUUAGAUGUGGUUGAGUCCUAGUUGUUAUGUAUAGUUCUAUCUACUUGGAGUCUGAAUGCCAUAAGACAUAUCAAGUUUAAGAA